GCCGGGUGCGGUGGUGCAGGCCUGUAAUCCUAGUGGCUGGGGAGGCUGAGGCAGGAGGAUCAUGAGUUCAAAUCCAGCUUUAGCAAUUUAGUGAGGCCCUAAGCAACUCAGUGAGACCCUGUCUCUA
rnacentral:sRNA from 1 species